GACAGAGGGUGCAAACGUUGUUCGGAAUUACUGGGCGUAAAGCGCGUGUAGGCGGCCCUGUAAGUCGGGUGUGAAAUCCCACGGCUCAACCGUGGAAGUGCAUUCGAAACUACAGGGCUAGAGUUCUGGAGAGGAAGGUGGAAUGCUUGGUGUAGAGGUGAAAUUCGUAGAUAUCAAGCGGAACACCGGUGGCGAAGGCGGCCUUCUGGACAGUAAUUGACGCUGAGACGCGAAAGCGUGGGGAGCAAACAGG
rnacentral:rRNA from 1 species